UGGGGAAUAUUGCACAAUGGGCGCAAGCCUGAUGCAGCAACGCCGCGUGAACGAUGAAGGUCUUCGGAUCGUAAAGUUCUGUUGCAGGGGAAGAUAAUGACGGUACCCUGUGAGGAAGCCCCGUCUAACUACGUGCCAGCAGCCGCGGUAAUACGUAGGGGGCUAGCGUUAUCCGGAUUUACUGGGCGUAAAGGGUGCGUAGGUGGUCUUUCAAGUCGGUGGUUAAAGGCUACGGCUCAACCGUAGUUAGCCUCCGAAACUGGAAGACUUGAGUGCAGGAGAGGAAAGUGGAAUUCCCAGUGUAGCGGUGAAAUGCGUAGAUAUUGGGAGGAACACCAGUAGCGAAGGCGGCUUUCUGGACUGCAACUGACACUGAGGCACGAAAGCGUGGGUAGCAAACAGG
rnacentral:rRNA from 1 species